rnacentral:rRNA from 1 species
UAACGCGUGAGGAACCUGCCUCAAAGAGGGGGACAACAGUUGGAAACGACUGCUAAUACCGCAUAAGCCCACAGCUCGGCAUCGAGCAGAGGGAAAAGGAGCAAUCCGCUUUGAGAUGGCCUCGCGUCCGAUUAGCUAGUUGGUGAGGUAAUGGCCCACCAAGGCGACGAUCGGUAGCCGGACUGAGAGGUUGAACGGCCACAUUGGGACUGAGACACGGCCCAGACUCCUACGGGAGGCAGCAGUGGGGAAUAUUGCACAAUGGGGGAAACCCUGAUGCAGCGACGCCGCGUGGAGGAAGAAGGUCUUCGGAUUGUAAACUCCUGUUGUUGAGGAAGAUAAUGACGGUACUCAACAAGGAAGUGACGGCUAACUACGUGCCAGCAGCCGCGGUAAAACGUAGGUCACAAGCGUUGUCCGGAAUUACUGGGUGUAAAGGGAGCGCAGGCGGGAAGACAAGUUGGAAGUGAAAUCUAUGGGCUCAACCCAUAAACUGCUUUCAAAACUGUUUUUCUUGAGUAGUGCAGAGGUAGGCGGAAUUCCCGGUGUAGCGGUGGAAUGCGUAGAUAUCGGGAGGAACACCAGUGGCGAAGGCGGCCUACUGGGCACCAACUGACGCUGAGGCUCGAAAGUGUGGGUAGCAACAGGAUUAGAUACCCUGGNAGUCCACACCGUAAACGAUGAUUACUAGGUGU